rnacentral:rRNA from 1 species
UCGAUCGGGGCAUCAUAAUGGGUGGAUGCAACCUAUCAAUUGGGCGCCGCGCCGCGCCAAGGAAGCGUUGUCACUAGCAUUGAUGACUAUCCGUGGGAGCUCGAAGGGCUCGUCGGUGCGUCGUUSUUGCUUCUGAAUUAUUGUAUGACUCCCGGCAAUGGAUAUCUUGGCUCUUGCAUCGAUGAAGAGCGCAGCGAAAUGCGAUACGUGGUGUGAAUUGCAGAAUCCCGUGAACCAUCGAGUUUUUGAACGCAAGUUGCGCCCGAGGCCAAUUGGCUGAGGGCACGUCCGCCUGGGCGUCAAGCAUUACAUCGCUUCAUCCCGCGCCACCUCGUAGGUGGGGUGGUUGUGCCGGGUUGAAUGUGGAGAAUGGCUCUUCGUGCAGACAUCUGUGCGGCGGGUUGAAGCGCAGAUGGCUCUCCUCUCGGCUGAUGCGUGACAAAGGGGUGGUUGGAUGCUGCCGGUUGGCCCGCAUUGUCAUGUCAUUGGCCUUGAGGAUGGCGUGCACACACAUCGAUAGUAGGUCACCCGACGGAUUCGUCGUAGGUGGCACAUCGAAAUGCGACCCCAGGA